rnacentral:rRNA from 1 species
GCCUACGGGAGGCAGCAGUGGGGAAUUGUUCGCAAUGGGCGCAAGCCUGACGACGCAACGCCGCGUGAGUGAUGAAGGCCUUCGGGUCGUAAAGCUCUGUCAGAGGGAAAGAAGUGUAUUAUGGUUAAUACCCGUGAUACUUGACGGUACCCUCAAAGGAAGCACCGGCUAACUCCGUGCCAGCAGCCGCGGUAA